rnacentral:rRNA from 1 species
GACGAACGCUGGCGGCGUGCCUAAUACAUGCAAGUCGAACGCAGUGGGGACGGGUGAGUAACACGUGGGUAACCUCCCAUCAGAGGGGAUAACACUUGGAAACAGGUGCUAAACCGAUACUGAUGGAUGGACCCGGGGUUGAUUGGCUAGUUGGUGGGGUAACGGCGCACCAAGGCCACGAUGCAUAGGCGACCUGAGAGGUGGAUAGGCCACCGUGGAACGGGGCCACGGCCCAGACUCCUACGGGAGGCAGCAGUAGGGAAUCUUCGGCAAUGGACGAAAGUCUGACCGAGCAACGCCGCGUGAGUGAAGAAGGUUUUCGGAUCGUAAAACUCUGUUGUUAGAGAAGCGGUAUCUAACCAGAAAGCCACGGCUAACUACGUGCCAGCAGCCGCGGUAAUUC